UUUUUAAAAACCAUAGUGUGAUAAUAAUAAAAUUCCUUCAUAUUGAAUAUGCUGACUUUAGUAACGGAAAAUAGAUUGUUUCAGCUAUCCAUGGUGAUAAGA
rnacentral:rRNA from 1 species